CCGGAUUGUUAUGAUGUCUUCAUUGAGAUUGAAAAUCCUAAUAAUUAUCUUAUCACUAAAAUGUUUGCAAGCCGUACAUUAUUAUGACUACGAGGAUAUCGAAAACAAACCCAUGAAUCUAAAGGAGUCUUGGAAAGACCAGGAGUCGAAGGAAAUCAGUCUCGUGGAGCGAUGUACCAGAAGAUACGCACCAGGAACUUGCACCGAACCAGUUGCGUCAGUGUGGACUUUCAACAUGGAAAAGAAGGCUUGUAUGUAAGUUACUGUGGUGUUGGAAUUGGAACGCAUUAUAUUAUAUUCUACCCUAGGAGCUGG